AUGCCUUCGUCGACGCUCCACCACCUUGGCCGCCUUGGCACACCCCUAUCAGUGUCCAAUGAGCCCCUCACAUCCAAUGGUACACACGGGAUCCAAGCCGGUUCUCCUCCGCCACCGUUCCACACCUCUCCUUCGACCACCGCGCAGGUACCGUCAGCUCCUACAUUACUCACCAUGCCCGACAACUGUUCAGUGAAAUGCCCAUGCUACAUUUUUUGUCCCUUCUUCUUUCAAGCAUUGAAUUUGGAUAUGGAGUACAUAUAUGAGCACUAUGUUGAGUUGUCAGCCAUCUCGCCCGGCGAAGAGGACUACACGGAUGAGACAAUGAUGAUGCAGGUGGUCCUUGCAGAUGUGGAGUGUGCGGAAGAGCGUGUUCUCAAUUUCCACCUCCCACGUCUAGAAAGGAUGUUCAGAGGGCAUUUGCAGUUCUGCAGACAUGUUUUGUAG
rnacentral:rRNA from 1 species